UGUAGAUAGGAGAUGUGGCUCGGAUCUAGCGUUGCUGUGGCUGUGAUAGACCUCUAGCCUGGGAACUUAGAUAUGCUGCAGGUGUGGCCCUAAAAAGAGAAAAAAAGGGUAGUUGUUAUCCAUGACUGCAUAUAUUUUUGCAUUCCUAUAAUUGAAAUUUAUUGAGUGUCUUACACUCUGUUCCUUCUCACAGUCACUUGCCCAGCUCUAUUUCACUCUCCACUGCUCUCUUUGGUUUUCUUGUUACUCAACCCCGGUACCCCCUACCCACUGCUGGUCCAUGUUGAAGUGAUAAGAGGAAGGUGAGGGUCAAUUCAAUUUCUAAAUUUGAUCAGAAAUCAUGUUUAUUUUUUAUUGUUUCAGAACAAGUUAUACCCUGGAAGCAAUAAAAAGGUUGAAGAGAAGAAAAUCAGAAAUUCUCAGUAUUGGUGAGGGUUUAGCUGUUUAAUUAUUACACAUGAGAGGCAAUUACUUUAAAUGAAAAAGCAUCUUUUUAGUCCUUAAAAAGUGGUUAGCCAAAGCAUCUGUGGCAUUGAUAUUCUAAAAUACAAACAAAGAAUAGACGUAUCCUAAUGAGUUAGUGAAUUUGGGGGGUGGGGUGCUGGCUCCUGCUAUGCCAGAUGGCCAGCUACCUUGUUCUGCCCAGAGGAUAAUUUUCUCCACUACUCUCUCCCCCACCUCCACUUUUCUUCUACAUCUUCCUUCUCUUUCCUUCCAUUUCCUUCCUUUUCUAAGCUUUCCAUUGACUUUGCCAAGGGUCUCAUCCCCAGAUCCCUAAGGCUCCCAGGUGACUCUGGUUUCUGUAGCAGCGCUUCUCAACCUUGACUCCACAUUAGAAGAGUUUUAAAAAAUAUAGGUUCUGUCAGUAGUGUGUUGAGCCCACUUCCUUUCUACCUGCAAGAUUAGACUGUUACGUUUUCAGAAGUUUGUCAGACAAUGCAUGUCAUCUUGGUAGCUUGAAAUCAGCCACAGUGGCAAUGUUAGUAUCUGCAAAUGCUACAAAUCAGAGCGUUUGAUUUUUUUCCUAGGAGUUGGCUGUUAAAUAUCAUCACUGACCCCUGGACUCUGCUUCCCAAUUCUGAUAUAAGUUAUCUAAGUCUCAGGGUUUUUAAAAGCACCUCAGUUAAUUCAGCCAAAAUUGAGAACACUGUUCUAGCCCAUUGGUUUUGUCUUCUCAGGCUGGGACCACCGUGGGUGAUUCACAGGCCUAAAGAUCUGCAAAAGGCUAAAGUGAAUAGAAAUGAAAAGUGGCGCAGGAAACAGCACGUUCCAUCAAUAUCCCUGUGAGAGUCAGUGUUGGAGAGCUAUCUGGGAACAUGAGCUUUGAAGUUAGAUGAGUUUAAAUAUCAGAUCAAUGCUCCUGGUUAGGAAACCACCUUUCUAAGCAUCACAUUCCUCCCCAUAAAAUUGGGAUAAUAAAAAUAUUUACGUAUUAGGUUGCUGUGACGACAAAAGAAGAGGAUGCAAGGAAGGAACUUUAUCACUUUUAAAUAAUUCAAUAAUGUACUUUCCUCUUGAUAAGUUUCUGCCUGUUUUUUGGUAUGAAUAAUUUCCUCAAAAUAUGUAUUCUUUGAGUCUGAUGUGAAUGGUGCCACACACUCAAAUUAGGUCUUAUUUUUUGACUCUCCCUUGACAUUUAGAAGUAAUGUAUAGAUGCCUAAUAAGUGUUUCCCUACUGGGUGAUUCCCCAGGUGUUCCUAUCUACCUCCCACGUAGGCAAAUGGCUAGUAUCAUUAGUCAAUGGUAUAUUUAGCAGUGGAUCACAAAGUUUGGCUAUACAGUAGAAUUAUCUGGGAAAAUUAAAAUAUUAGUGCCCUGAUAAUACACCCUAGAGAGGAAGAUUCAAUUGAUUAGAAGUUGAUUUGGGUACUGGUGUUAUUUAAAAACCUCCUCAGGUGAUUCAGGUUUAUAGCCCACCAUGGAUAAUCCUUGAUUUAGAUGACCAAAUCUCAAACUCAUGGUCUCAGGAGCAGUUGCAUCCUGGGAAUUUGUUAUAAAUGCAACUAGUCAGACCCCCACAGCAGAUCUACUGAAUCAGGAACUCUGGUGGUGGGCUUUAACAAGCCCUUCAAGUGAUUCUAAUGGAGAUUAAAAUUGAAAAUCAUGGGUGGGUCUUUUUCCCGAGCAUCCUUAGAAUGCUUUGGUGAUCUCUGAACUGGGAGCAAUGACGUUGUUCCAUUUUUCACCUCAGCAAAGAUGCAAUGUCAAGAGGGAGCUGCCACUGUUAGAUGAGGUAGGUGGUGGGGGAGCCAGUAUACCACUUUCGACAAUUUUCUCUCUGUCUCCAAGUCUGGGUCGAUUAAGAAGCGAAAGCUUCUUGUGGUCCUUGCUUAUCAGGUUUCUUAAAGAUCUCCUUUCUCUUUCAAAUUAGACUCUCCAGAGAAUUGCCCAUUACUGAAAUCCUGUGUUAUUGUUUAAUCUAUGGGGGAGUAACACAUAGGAUGUCUAGGUCUGUAACGGAUUUUACUCUCAGACUUGAGUAGAAAGAAAACAGUUUGCUCUGGCUGGCUCAUUCGCCUUUGUGCCUCAUCUUGUUAGUCUGCUGACAAGGCAGUCUGACAGAAAUCCAGCUGACUGAAACUCAGCUGGGACCAACUUAAAGGGCCGCAGGCAAGGAGGGCUGCCUCAGAUUGUGGUGAAGAUGGGCAAUGCCUGGGGAGAGUGAGGCACCCUAUACAUUGCUGCAUCGUGGGCAGAGAAGCCCUAAGAGAAAUUCAGAUUCUUGGGUGGAAGCAUAACACAGUGCUUGAGAAUUCUUACAGACUAGCCACUCAGCCCUGCCUGGCCUGGUCAGCUCAUCUCAGCGGCGGCCUGAGCGCAAGAUGGAUAUGAGAGACUCUGAGAUAGCAGAAUUGUUGGUGUUGAAGAGGAUUGUGAACUAUUAAGUUCAGGCCACUGAGUGGCUAGGUACGCAGGUGAGACACCUAAGGUGCAGAAUGUGCCCGAAGACAUACAAGCAGUAUGUGACAAAGACAGAAUUUGAAUCCUGAGUCUACGUUUGUAGUGACAACAUUAUUUUCCCUUGUUUUUUAUUUUAGCCCAAUAUGCUCAUUUUACAGAUGAGAAAAUGGAGUCCAGAGAUACUAUGUGACUUUCUUAAAGUUACAUUGGUUUAAUUUAUUGCUGAAAACUCCAGGCUAAAGGACUUUUGAUUCUCAACCUGGUGAAUUGGGCAUACAUACUCUUCAACAGUCAUGAUGACUUUGCUUCUCAGGCUUCCCAGCCUCAUCAUUCUGUAUGUUGUGUGUCACACAUAGUUUUUUGUUCAAUUUCAUCCAUCAUGGACACCAGAUGGUUGAUUGUCUCACAUAAAUGAGCCCAUUCAUAAACUAGGAGGACCUUAAUUAAUGAGCCCCUCAUUCAGUCUAUUUUCCUGAGUAGUAAUUUCAAUUCCUUUUUAAUGGUUCUUUGGAAAUUUUAUAUUCCAAAUCUGUAAUCAUCUUUGUAGCUCCCUUUCAUCCUUUGUUUUUAUUGCCAAGAGGGAAGAAAUUGUGUAUUUCCUUACUAAACUGUUUUCAGAUGUUCUCCUACCCAUUUUCCACUUGACUGUGUUUGUAUUUAUUUCUACUCCUAUUUGCUCAGGUGCUGCACAGUUUACCCAUGCUUGGUGGCAUUUCUUAGCCUUCACAAGCAUACCAGUCACCAGUGCUAUACCAAGAGCAAUGGUUCCACAGCCAAACCCUCGUGGUUUCUUCUCACAGUUGAUGCCAAUGCAUCAAGAACAGCUCUCUGGACUGUGUCUAUUGCAGUUCAUAAAUUAAUACCAUAUGUUUUCAGUGGUUGAUUUGUGAGAUUGAAAAAAGUUCUUUAUUAAAUAUUAUUUCUGUUAUCUUCUACCUGUAUACCAUCUAUAUAACUCAAUAUGGGAUAGGGUUCAAGAGAAAUCUAAGGGGCCUUAAAUAAGAGGUACCAAAGAAUCAUCACAGAUGUGCUUUUACCUUUGGUCUGCUUAUGACAUUAUUGUUGUUUGAGACUGUGCUAUAGUGAAUGUUCAUUUUGUUAAUUCUGUAUAAAAGGUAAUAAUCUAUUCUGCAUAUUGUUCGUUUACCUAUGCAUGUUAUCAAGAUCAGUGACUUCAUGUUAAUAAAAUCUGUUUUAGGCUGAGAAUUAUUAGAAGGCAGAACUUAUUUAAUUUAUGUGCUGUGGAAGUUGGCAUUCCCCUUAUUAGCUAGUUUUUAUAAUCUUUGCAAGUCAAAGAUAUUUUUCUAAAAAUAGAGCAAUAACAAUUGUAAUAUAAAGACAGUGAGGUAAGGUAUUGAAAUUUGUAGAAAUGCGGACCUAUGGUUAAAGACAAAGAAAAGCUGAGUCGUGAACAUAAUACAUGAAGGUAAAUUUAACUUUAUCUUCAUACAGCCUAGAGUUUCUCAAAAUGUAUAUGUGAGGUGAUAUUAGGUAGUUUAUAGAUUGGUGUUUUAUUUUAAUAGUUUUGCACUUAUUGAACAUUAGAAAAAUAUAAUUAUCACACAAAACCUUUCUAUUUAUACAAGAUAAAAAGUCUACUUUUAAAAAUGAGUAUUUCUAUUCAAGUUAUUUAAUGAAUUCAAAUAAAUAUCAUUGUAUUAUGUGUUUAUGGCAAAAAUAUCAAACAUGAAAAUGGAUUUCGGCUCUUGAAAAUUUUGUCUAUUUGUGUCAAUCUUCACAGAGCUCCCAUGUUUGACCUUAAACAAAUAUAUGUUAUGGUUCAUCCAUGAAAGUAACUAUUAGCAUAUUGUGAACCAUGUCCCUGUAUCACCUUGGAAGACUGACUGUUGAAGUCUAAUGGUCUAGGAAAAUAGUCCAAAUUUCAUUUCAAGUAAUUAGUUGUCUUAUGGAGGCAGAGAUAAUCUGUUAUCAAACGAUGCAUUUAAUAGUAUCAUCUAAUAUUUUUCCUUUAUGUGUAAGGAUUAUGUGUGACAACUACCCUUUAGGAAUUCAGUAUCUUAGUGGCUCAAGUAGUUAAAAGCAAACAGGCUUUAAAAACAACUUGUAUUUUGUAAAGCUUCUUAUAAGUUUUUGUCCAAUUCAUGUAGAUAUUAAAUUCAAGAAUAUCUUUAUACAAAAUUAGAAAUCACAAAAUAUUUUUUUUACAGUAUGUAUGUAUAUUUUACAUAAGGCAACAGGUAAAAUGCCAAUUAACUUCUAAGACCUUCUGUUCACAUUUGUGAUGGAGUUCACUAAUGAUGGACUACAAAGCAUAUAUUAUCUAAGACCAGGGUUUGCUCUGUUUAUGCUCCCUUCUGG